rnacentral:rRNA from 1 species
AGCGAACGCUGGCGGCAGGCUUAACACAUGCAAGUCGAGCGGGCAUCCUUGUGGUGUCAGCGGCAGACGGGUGAGUAACGCGUGGGAACGUGCCCUUCGGUUCGGAAUAACUCAGGGAAACUUGAGCUAAUACCGGAUACGCCCUUUUGGGGAAAGGUUUACUGCCGAAGGAUCGGCCCGCCUCUGAUUAGCUAGUUGGUGAGGUUAUGGCUCACCAAGGCGACGAUCAGUAGCUGGUCUGAGAGGAUGAUCAGCCACACUGGGACUGAGACACGGCCCAGACUCCUACGGGAGGCAGCCGUGGGGAAUAUUGGAAAAUGGGGGCAACCCUGAACCAGCCAUGCCGCGUGAGUGAUGACGGCCUUAGGGAUGUAAAGCUCUUUUCUCCGGGACGAUAAUGACGGUACCGGAGGAAUAAGCCCCGGCUAACUUCGUG